rnacentral:rRNA from 1 species
CGCCAGACUCCUACGGGAGGCAGCAGUGGGGAAUAUUGCACAAUGGGGGAAACCCUGAUGCAGCGACGCCGCGUGAGUGAAGAAGUAUUUCGGUACGUAAAGCUCUAUCAGCAGGGAAGAAAAUGACGGUACCUGACCAAGAAGCCCCGGCUAACUACGUGCCAGCAGCCGCGGUAAUACGUAGGGGGCAAGCGUUAUCCGGAUUUACUGGGUGUAAAGGGAGCGUAGACGGCAGCGCAAGUCUGGAGUGAAAUGCCGGGGCCCAACCCCGGAACUGCUUUGGAAACUGUGCAGCUGGAGUGCAGGAGAGGUAAGCGGAAUUCCCAGUGUAGCGGUGAAAUGCGUAGAUAUUAGGAGGAACACCAGUGGCGAAGGCGGCUUACUGGACUGUAACUGACGUUGAGGCUCGAAAGCGUGGGGAGCAAACAGGAUUAGAUACCCUAGUACAC